rnacentral:rRNA from 1 species
UACGGGGGGGGGCAAGCGUUGUUCGGAAUUACUGGGCGUAAAGGGCUCGUAGGCGGCCAACUAAGUCAGACGUGAAAUCCCUCGGCUUAACCGGGGAACUGCGUCUGAUACUGGAUGGCUUGAGGUUGGGAGAGGGAUGCGGAAUCCAGGUGUAGCGGUGAAAUGCGUAGAUAUCUGGAGGAACACCGGUGGCGAAGGCGGCAUCCUGGACCAAUUCUGACGCUGAGGAGCGAAAGCCAGGGGAGCAAACGGGG